rnacentral:rRNA from 1 species
UAGCCGUAAACGAUACUCGCUAGGUGUCGGCCACGGUGCGACCGUUGUCGGUGCCGUAGGGAAGCCGUGAAGCGAGCCACCUGGGAAGUACGGCCGCAAGGCUGAAACUUAAAGGAAUUGGCGGGGGAGCACAACAACGGGUGGAGCUUGCGGUUUAAUUGGAUUCAACGCCGGAAAUCUUACCGGGACCGACAGCAACAUGAAGGCCAAGCUGAAGACUUCGCCGGAUUAGCUGAGAGGAGGUGCAUGGCGUAGUCGUGU